rnacentral:rRNA from 1 species
CCUACGGGAGGCAGCAGUGAGGAAUAUUGGUCAAUGGGAGAGAUCCUGAACCAGCCAAGCCGCGUGAGGGAAGACGGCCCUAUGGGUUGUAAACCUCUUUUGUCGGAGAACAAAACCCGGGACGUGUCCCGUACUGCGUGUAUCCGAAGAAAAAGCAUCGGCUAACUCCGUGCCAGCAGCCGCGGUAAUACGGAGGAUGCGAGCGUUAUCCGGAUUUAUUGGGUUUAAAGGGUGCGUAGGCGGUCCGUUAAGUCAGCGGUAAAAUUGCGGGGCUCAACCCCGUUGAGCCGUUGAUACUGGCAGACUUGAGUUGGCGAGAAGUAGGCGGAAUGCGCGGUGUAGCGGUGAAAUGCAUAGAUAUAGCGUAGAACUCCGAUUGCGAAGGCAGCGUACCGGCGCCAGACUGACGCUGAGGCACGAAAGCGUGGGGAUCGAACAGGAUUAGAUACCCGUGUAGUC